AUAAAUUCAAUGAUGAAUUCAUAGUUCAGCUGAAACAUUCUUGAUGCAUUACUUAGCAUGUCUUUCGCUCCUAUCUGACAUUUUAU